GCAUAAAGCAGGAGUGGCACCAGUACACAAUGGCACACUAUGUGACUGGAUUUUGGCCACCCUGGAUACAGGGACACAAGCAGCUUAAGCCUCUCUGCUGGCCUCAAUCAUGGCAGUUGCAUAAAAGCAGAACUAAGGAGGCUUGCAGGCAGCUAGUCAGAGACUGCAAAAAAUGGGCACCUUUUCUCCCCAUUGACCUUUUACAAUCUGCUGGAGGGAAUUCCCAGAGUUAAAAUCUAAUGCUUUAUGGCAAAUAAUUGUAUUAUUAUGCUCCUUUUGGAAAUUUAACAUAUAUUCAUGUGAUUAUUGAUAUCUACUCAGGCUGUGUAAUGGCCACAGCCUCCACAGGAAAAACCACAAAAAAGUACAUUUCCCAGUUAUUAAAAUGUUUUGGAAUUAUGGAUGUUUCCAUGUCUAUUAAAACUGACAAUGGGCUAGCCUAUACUAGCAAGACAUUUCAAGCAAUUUUCAAUGAUUGGCAUAUAUAUUACUUAACUGGGAUCCCCUAAAACACUUAGACUCAAGGCAUCAUAGAAAGAACACACAAAAAAUUAAAGGCAAUGCUACAAAACAAAGGGAGAAAACUAUACCAAGUCCCCUCAUGAUGCCUUGAAAAUAAUUUUAUUACUUUAAAUUUUCUUUCAAUUUCAAAAUUUUCUACAGAAAUAGGAGCCCAUAAGCAUUAUGCUCCUCCCAUGGGGCCCUCCCAUCUACUUUGGUCUCAUGGAAGGAUCUCAUAACAAAUGCAUGGGAUGGUCUGGGGUCCCUCCUACCCAUGGGUGGAGGGUUUGCAUAUGUUAACAGGAGCUUCACCCCAUCUGAGUGCCUGCCAGAAAGUCAAGCCCUGGAUCCCCAGAACCACCAACCAAGAAGAUGAAAGAACUAACUUUGGAGGAAAAACCUCGCAAGCAAAGAACUCAAUAACACAAAUGGAACUCAGAGUGCCCCCAGCAAUCUGGCUUCCAGUGAACCUGUCAGGAUAGUGGAGGAGUCCAUGUACAUGGAGAUGAAGAAUCUUCUGAAUGAGAUCCUAUACUGAACUAGGCAUGCAAUUAGCCUCAUCAUUGCUGGAAUUAUUGCCCCGGUUCUUAAGUUUCUCCUUGAUAAAUUUCAGAAUGAAGAGAACAAUCCCAGGAGAAGCAGUCAUUCUGUAUCCUGAGAAUAAUUUUCAGAAUCAAGAAGAGGGGACAGGGAAAAGUAAGGAAGGGUAAUAGUGGACUGUGAUCAAAGCAUGUUAUAGGCGUGUAUAAAUAUGUCACAAUGAAUCCAAUAUUCUGCAUAAUCAAAAAUUAAUUUUUAAAAAGUCUGCAGCUUAUAUCAUUAUAUCUUGUAGAUACUCUGUUGCUCUCUCUCUCUCUCUCUCUCUCUCUCUCUCUCUCUCUCUCUCUCCAAUAGCCAUAAAAAAGUCUGAAGUAUUCUGCUGAAAAGUCCCUGAAGGGUCAGAGACCAGGUGGAGAACAGGCAGCACCACAAAGGGCAGCCAUGCAAGUUAGCACCUUAGGUGUAAACACUCCUGUUGAGAGCCACAGCCAAAGGGGCCCCAGCAAACUUCCAGCUGCCAGAUGAUUGGCUCCU